CUUAACAAAUACAAGUUUAAAUGAAAGCAUUGUAGGGCCACUGCUGCCUCUCUUCCAAAAAAGAAUUCUUUCUUUUGAGCCACAGAGUUUUUCCUCUCUUUACUGCCAUUUUUGAAAAAUGAUGUGUAUUUUCACCUCACUCUGUGCCUAUCCUGUCCCUCUGGGCCCAGCCUCUGCCUUAGAGAAACCAUGCCUUAGGUUAUAUAAUAGCCUCCCACCUGUUCUCUUAACCCUGAGUUUUCCCUCCGUCCUUCUCUUUUAUUUGCCUUAGAGAAACCAUGCCUUAGGUUAUAUAAUAGCCUCCCACCUGUUCUCUUAACCCUGAGUUUUCCCUCCGUCCUUCUCUUUUAUUUGGCCGUACCCAUGGCAUGAAGUUCUUGGGCCAGGGAUCAAACCCAUGCUACAGCUGUAACCCGAGCCACAGCAGUGACAAUGGCAGAUCCUUAACCCACUGUGCCACCAGGGAACUCCCCUCUCCAACCUUUUCAGUUCAGCCCUCACACCACAUAUUUCCUAUAGUUCCCGCCUCCAGGUGAGGCGCUCCCCUGACUCACUGAACAAGGGCCAAAUUGAGCAUGGCCUUGACAGCCCUCUGUCUUUUGUUUUUUCCUACUAUGUUCUUUCUGCUCCAGCCAGUUUCACCUGCAGCUGCUUUGCGAAUGUGUCCCAUCUUUUUUAGAGCACUCCGACUCCUCCCCUCAAAUGUGCCUUCUUUCUAUACCUGCUCUGCUUUCCUCAUCCUCCAUAGCACGGGUGAUUGCAUGCAGGACUCACCUGCAUAAUCCAAGCUGCUCUACCCAUUGCAAGAUGCUUAACCUAAUCACAUAUGUAGAGACCCUUUUUCUAAAUAAGGGAAUAUUUACAGGUACCAGGGUUUAGGACCUCAUAUCUUUGGGUAGCUGCACUAGUCAGCCUACUGCCAGUCAGCCAAAUGGGUCAUAAGAGCCUUGAUUUAUAAAAAGACUUGGAGGUCCUUCAUAGUUUUAAUGGACUUUUACAGUUUUAUUCACAAUAAAAUAAUCCUCAAAAUUAUUUCAAAGUUUGAUUGUUCUAGAGUUUCAUUGCAUUGACGGCGUGUGUGUGUGUAGUGACUGGGAACCUUCACUUGGCCUUUAGUCCUUUCUCCUUGGAUGCUUCGUAAGUAACGAAACGUAACAGAAUCAUUGUUUUCCUCCUACCAGAGUUCUUCAUCCCCUAUUCCUCCACAUGCCAAUCAAUAGCAGUGCACCCAUCCGAUAGCCCAAGCCGAAAGCCUGGAGCACUCCAUCCCUCUCUGUGCCCUGUCCUUUAAAUCCAGUUGUGAUCUUUAGUAAACAGUGAGGCAUGGAACUCACCCAUCAGAAUAAGAGGCAGGCAGUAGAGCUAAGGGGUCUCUACCAUGCUAUCAAGUACUAAUGAUAUUUUAGUUUUUGGUUCUAGGGGAAGUCUGAGGGUGGUGGCCUGAGGGACCACAUGCGGGCUCUUGGCAGUGACUGUUUACCAACUAGUAUAAAAAUAUUUCAACAUUCUGAUCACUGGGAGGGCUCUCUUGGGGCUUAGCAAUGAAAUAGCAUCCAUGCCUGUAUCCAAUUUCCUAAGUCCUGUUGCCUCUACUGCCAAAGAUGUCUUAAGUAUAGCUAUUUCUGUCCACCUAACAGCUACUAUGCUGGAACCAGCCACCACCUUCUCUUGCCUGGAUUUCUGCAAUAAGCUUCUGGGAUUUGCCUGCCCCUAAGCUUGCACCACAUAAUCCAUUCCCCAAACAAAAUAGCAAAAAGACAAAAAUAUAUAUAUUGCUUGACUUCUCUGAGCCUGAGUUUCAUCUGUUAAAAAA
rnacentral:lncRNA from 9 species